UACGUAGGGGCCGAGCGUUGUCCGGAGUUACUGGGCGUAAAGCGCGCGCAGGCGGCUCGUCAAGCCUGACGUGAAAGCCCCCGGCUCAACCGGGGAGGGUCGUCGGGGACUGGCGAGCUUGAGGUCGGCAGGGGUUGGUGGAAUUCCCGGUGUAGUGGUGAAAUGCGUAGAGAUCGGGAGGAACACCCGUGGCGAAGGCGGCCAACUGGGCCGGACCUGACGCUGAGGUGCGAAAGCGUAGGGAGCGAACAGG
rnacentral:rRNA from 1 species